GCCAGGUGCGGUGGUGCACACCUGUAAUCCCAGCGGCUCUGGAGGCUGAGGCAGGAGAAUUACAAGUUCAAAGCCAGCCUCAGCAAAAGUGAGGUGCUAUGCAACUUGGUGAGACCCUGUCUCUA
rnacentral:sRNA from 1 species